GGGGAAGCAACCAUGCAAGUCGAGGGGCAGCGUGGGAGCGAAGCUUGCUUUGCUCCGCCGGCGACCGGCGCACGGGUGAGUAACGCGUAUGCAACCUGCCCGUUUCAGCGGGAUAACCCGGAGAAAUCCGGCCUAAUACCGCAUGUGGCCGAGGGGAGGCAUCUUCUUUCGGCCAAAGGAGGCAACUCCGGAGACGGAUGGGCAUGCGUGACAUUAGCUUGUUGGCGGGGUAACGGCCCACCAAGGCGACGAUGUCUAGGGGUUCUGAGAGGAAGGUCCCCCACACUGGUACUGAGACACGGACCAGACUCCUACGGGAGGCAGCAGUGAGGAAUAUUGGUCAAUGGGCGAGAGCCUGAACCAGCCAAGUCGCGUGAAGGAUGACGGCCCUACGGGUUGUAAACUUCUUUUGUCAGGGAGCAAUUGAGUCCACGUGUGGGCUUAGCGAGAGUACCUGAAGAAAAAGCAUCGGCUAACUCCGUGCCAGCAGCCGCGGUAAUACGGAGGAUGCGAGCGUUAUCCGGAUUUAUUGGGUUUAAAGGGUGCGUAGGCGGAAUAUCAAGUCAGCGGUAAAAAUUCGGGGCUCAACCCCGUCGUGCCGUUGAAACUGAUGUUCUUGAGUGGGCGAGAAGUAUGCGGAAUGCGUGGUGUAGCGGUGAAAUGCAUAGAUAUCACGCAGAACUCCGAUUGCGAAGGCAGC
rnacentral:rRNA from 1 species